rfam:Aptenodytes forsteri contig40933, whole genome shotgun sequence.
UCAGUGGUUCUUCUCAGAACCACUCUCAGAUGGAGAAUGGAAGAUG